rnacentral:rRNA from 1 species
CUGACAACGCUGCGGCAGGCUACCAUGCUUAUGAGCGCGCCUUCGGGUGCAGCGGCGUACGGGUUAGUAACGCGUGGGAACGUGCCCUUCUCUACGUGAAUAGCCUCUGGAAACGGAGAGUAAUACCGUAUACGCCCUUUGGGGGAAAGAUUUAUCUGGAGAAGGAUCGGCCCGCGUUAGAUUAGGUAGUUGGUGGGGUAACGGGCUACCAAGCCUACGAUCUAUAGCUGGUUUUAGAGGAUGAUCAGCAACACUGGGACUGAGACACGGGCCCAGACUCCUACGGGAGGCCGCAGUGGGGGAAAUCUUUAAGACCAUGUGGGGCCAACCUGAAUCUAAGCCAUUGCCGGUUAGACUGAUGAAAG